rnacentral:rRNA from 1 species
GACGAACGCUGGCGGCGUGCUUAACACAUGCAAGUCGAACGGAAAGGCCCUGCUUUCGUGGGGUGCUCGAGGGGCGAACGGGUGAGUAACACGUGAGUAACCUGCCCUUGACUUUGGGAUAACUUCAGGAAACUGGGGCAAAUACCGGAUAGGAGAUCCUGCUGCAUGGUGGGGGUUGGAAAGUUUCGGCGGUUGGGGAUGGACUCGCGGCUUGUCAGCUUGUUGGUGGGGUAGGGGCGUACCAAGGCAUGGAGGGGUAGCCGGGCUGGGAGGGUGAGCGGCCCCAUUAGGACUGAGCUGCGGCCCAGACCCGACCGGGAGGCGGCAGUGGAGAGUGGUACACAACGGGCUGAAGCAUGACGCGACACCGCCACGCGCGGGGGAACGGCCUUCGCGUUGUAUUGCGCUUUCGCCUUUGACGAAGAGUUAGUGACGGUAAUGGGUAAAGAAGCACCGGCUAACUACGUG